rnacentral:rRNA from 1 species
UACGUAGGGUGCAAGCGUUGUCCGGAAUUAUUGGGCGUAAAGAGCUCGUAGGCGGUUUGUCACGUCGGCUGUGAAAACCCGAGGCUCAACCUCGGGCCUGCAGUCGAUACGGGCAGACUAGAGUAUGGCAGGGGAGACUGGAAUUCCUGGUGUAGCGGUGAAAUGCGCAGAUAUCAGGAGGAACACCGGUGGCGAAGGCGGGUCUCUGGGCCAUAACUGACGCUGAGGAGCGAAAGUGUGGGGAGCGAACAGG